UACGUAGGGGGCAAGCGUUGUCCGGAUUUAUUGGGCGUAAAGAGCGUGUAGGCGGCCAGAUAGGUCCGUUGUGAAAACUCGAGGCUCAACCUCGAGACGCCGAUGGAAACCAUCUGGCUAGAGUCCGGAAGAGGAGAGUGGAAUUCCUGGUGUAGCGGUGAAAUGCGCAGAUAUCAGGAAGAACACCGAUGGCGAAGGCAGGUCUCUGGGCCAUAACUGACGCUGAGAAGCGAAAGCAUGGGGAGCGAACAGG
rnacentral:rRNA from 1 species